rnacentral:rRNA from 1 species
UCCGUAGGCGGGCAGCUCAGUCAGUGGUGAAAGUUUGCAGCUCAACUGUAAAAUUCCCAUUGAUACUGGUUGUCUUGAAUUAAUGUGAAGUGGUUAGAAUAUGUAGUGUAGCGGUGAAAUGCAUAGAUAUUACAUGGGAUACCAAUUGCGAAGGCAGAUCACUAACAUUAUAUUGACGCUGAUGGACGAAAGCGUGGGGAGCGAACAGGAUUAGAUACCCUGGUAGUCC